UACGGGGGGGGCAAGCGUUGUCCGGAAUCAUUGGGCGUAAAGAGCGUGUAGGCGGUCCGGUAAGUCGGUUGUGAAAGCCCAGGGCUCAACCCUGGGAUGCCGACCGAUACUGUCGGACUAGAGUUCGGAAGAGGCGAGUGGAAUUCCCGGUGUAGCGGUGAAAUGCGCAGAUAUCGGGAGGAACACCUAUGGCGAAGGCAGCUCGCUGGGACGUUACUGACGCUGAGACGCGAAAGCGUGGGGAGCAAACAGG
rnacentral:rRNA from 1 species